GAGUUUGAUCAUGGCUCAGAUUGAACGCUGGCGGCAUGCUUUACACAUGCGAGUCGAACGGCAGCACGGGGUUUACCCUGGUGGCGAGUGGCGUACGGGUGAGGAAUACAUCGGAACGUGUCUAUAAGUGGGGGAUAACGCAUCGAAAGGUGUGCUAAUACCGCAUAAUCUCUCAGGAGAAAAGCAGGGGAUCGCAAGACCUUGCGCUUUAGGAGCGGCCGAUGCCUGAUUAGCUUGUUGGUAAGGUAAAAGCUUACCAAGGCUUCGAUCAGUAGCUGGUCUGAGAGGACGACCAGCCACACUGGGACUGAGACACGGCCCAGACUCCUACGGGAGGCAGCAGUGGGGAAUUUUGGACAAUGGGGGAAACCCUGAUCCAGCCAUGCCGCGUGAGUGAAGAAGGCCUUCGGGUUGUAAAGCUCUUUCAGCCGGAACGAAACGGUUACCGNUUAAUACUCGUAAUUAAUGACGGUACCGGCAGAAGAAGCACCGGCUAACUACGUGCCAGCAGCCGCGGUAAUACGUAGGGUGCGAGCGUUAAUCGGAAUUACUGGGCGUAAAGGGUCCGCAGGUUGUUUUGUAAGUCAGAUGUGAAAGCCCCGGGCUUAACCUGGGAACUGCGUCUGAAACUACAAGGCUANAGUAUGNCANANGGGGGGUGGAAUUCCGCGUGUAGCANUGNA
rnacentral:rRNA from 1 species